rnacentral:lncRNA from 1 species
CGAUGCAUGGACAACUCUUUGCUUCGAUGCUUUUCUAAGUAUGUUGCAACCACUUGAUCUCUAAGUCAUGUGGGCUCACCUAAUAGUUAUUAUCCACAUUCUUUAGUUAAUUCAGACCCACCAUUCAUAAGCAGAUGCAAAGCUAUCAUUGGGUCUUUCACCUAACAGUUAUUGGGUCUAACCUUAUUUUUAUUCUGGAGCAACUCUUUGCUAAUAGAAUGAUUGUGUAUUCUCGAUGCAACUGAACCACUGUGAUCAGUCAAAAAUAAUCA